rnacentral:rRNA from 1 species
CUGCCUCAUACUCGGGGAUAGCCUUUCGAAAGAAAGAUUAAUACCCGAUGGCAUAGUUCUUCCGCAUGAUAGAACUAUUAAAGAAUUUCGGUCAUCGAUGGGGAUGCGUUCCAUUAGCUUGUUGGCGGGGUAACGGCCCACCAAGGCAUCGAUGGAUAGGGGUUCUGAGAGGAAGGUCCCCCACAUUGGAACUGAGACACGGUCCAAACUCCUACGGGAGGCAGCAGUGAGGAAUAUUGGUCAAUGGGCGCUAGCCUGAACCAGCCAAGUAGCGUGAAGGAUGACUGCCCUAUGGGUUGUAAACUUCUUUUAUAUGGGAAUAAAGUGCAGUAUGUAUACUGCUUUGCAUGUACCUUAUGAAUAAGGAUCGGCUAACUCCGUGCCAGCAGCCGCGGUAAUACGGAGGAUCCGAGCGUUAUCCGGAUUUAUUGGGUUUAAAGGGAGCGUAGGCGGGUUGUUAAGUCAGUUGUGAAAGUUUGCGGCUCAACCGUAAAAUUGCAGUUGAUACUGGCAUCCUUGAGUACAGUAGAGGUAGGCGGAAUUCGUGGUGUAGCGGUGAAAUGCUUAGAUAUCACGAAGAACUCCGAUUGCGAAGGCAGCCUGCUGGACUGUAACUGACGCUGAUGCUCGAAAGUGUGGGUAUCAAACAGGAUUAGAUACCCUGGUAGUCCACACAGUAAACGAAGA